UCCAUGAAACAAUACCGCAUGUAGUGUUCAGAUAAUGUUAGUGUUAGAAGGAACGAGUAUGCCAGCUCCCAUACAGUACAUAACGAAGAAAAUAAGCAGAGGCAUUCCAAGAUUGCUAGUUCCCGUAUGUAACUUCUAACCUACUCUCAAUAGCACAAGUUAAACAACCAGUCUCCUAUUUCGAGAGGGUUUACGACUAUUUCUUAGCUUUCCCUCUCUUAGGAGCCUGAGUUUUCUUUGCCCUGCGCUUCACCGGAUGAGACUUCCCUUCUGCAUUCUUGUUUCUCUUCUUAAUGACGCCCUGCAUUCAAAGGGUAUCAAAGUUGUGGGAUUUCAGAAUUCAGUAUGAAUGACUCUGAUGAACGUUGAAUUACAACGUCAAUAUGCUAUGAGAGUUAGUUGUGAUGGGAUCGUACCAAAGCCUUCUCUGCUUUUCCCUUAGUUUUACGACCACUGGGCUGUUCUUCUAGCCCCUCAUUCUGAUUUUGCUGAUUGAUAUGUUUAGGGACUUUUUCUGCUUCGUCU
rnacentral:lncRNA from 1 species